UGUUUUUUUUUUUUUUUUUUUAAAUCUGUAUAUACUGUCUGUCUAUAAUGUGGGCUGUGAGUAGCUUUGAGUUGCAAAGAAGUCACAGAGAAGAACCAUUUGGGUUUCUUAAGUACAGGUAUUGAGCAGCAUGAAGGACAGUGCUGCCCAGCUCAGGGUGUCUGCUUGGUGGGUCUGACCCCCGCCCAUCCAGUUGUUUCUGGGUGUGUGAGAGAUCUUUCAUUCAUCUGGGUCUAACUGGUUGAGGGACUUUCCCACCUGGGCGGGGCUUCAUGGCCUCCAUUGCUUUUGCUGUCUUUGACCCCUUUUGUUGGGGCUUCUGCAGGCAUUCUGUCUGGGAGCAAUGGAGGGCUGCCUUCUGUGGAACUGUGGGAGGGAGGUUCACCGAUCAGAUGAACAUCUCGUCCAAGCCAGAAUUCUGCGGGGGACACGUGAGCUUUGCUUACAGUUUGCUUUCACCGUACAGACUGAAAGAAGGUUUCAGACUUCCUUUUCUCAGAAAGCAUGAAGAAUUUAUGACGUCUGGCAAAAGAAGCCGCUACUGUAAUGUUCCAGAUGUGUGCAGUAGAGCGCACUGUCACAGCCCUUUCUGCACCACCCAGGCAUCUGUGGCCAUGGAGGGAGGUCCUGCAGACCGCAUUUCCAGAGUUGAGGCCCUCACGAUUGUGCUGUGGGUUUGCUGCUGCUGCUGCUGCUGAGUCCUUCUGGGGGGACCCCUGAGGUGGGGAGCAGAGGGCUUUUGUUCACACUCCCUUUGCCUGGGAGCCCACUUGUGUUGCUGCUGUGUUGUGUAUAUAGGUGAGCGUAUGUGUGUCUGUUUGUCACUUUGUUUCCUCCAUGAUUUCAAUCAUACCCGGACGUCCUCAGAGCCCCUACAUCCUGUUUGGAAUUAUGGCCAACCUAAUCUGUCAAGAGGCUCGGCCCUUUUCAAAACUCAGUGUACACUUUUUAUGGCGUAUGACCAGUGCACAUGCAGCCUGGGGACCUCUGCUGUUGUUUGUAAGCUGUGAUGAUUCUUCCCCUUCCUAAUUGCAGGUUGAGAUUGACGUGGGAAGGAGUGGCUGGCAGGGAGGGAACGUGUUCCCUGAGUGUUAACCCACAGCCUGCCUCAGUUUACCGACUGCUGAGGAGGCUGCAGUGUCCAGUGCUCAGUCAGCCCUCAGAGUGUCCGCCGUGCCCCAUGGGAGCAGGGGUGGAGCAGCUCCUUGUCUCUCAGCCCUGACUUCCUUGUCAACCUUGUGGCUUGUUCUCAGCUCCCAGGAUUACACUGAGCGCAACGCUGCUGCCUUCAGCUUGGUUCUGGCUGGGCAGCCCUGAGUGGGAGCUUUGCUCUGAGGGUUCUCCUCUGACUUGCCCUCAAAUUUCACCAAUUCUGAAACUCUGUGGAGAAGUUUCUGUCACCAGCGGCCUCCUGUUGCUAUUAAGUCAUGUCAUGGGCACCUAAGAGAGGAAGUACACUGAGGUGUGUUUUACAAUUGUUCCUUAAGAUUCUCAAUGGUGAUUGGGAUUGAGAAACUGCAAUUUUCUGAUUGAAAAAUAACCUUGGAUCACCAAAUUAGGUAGAGCAGGGCACACCACUCCCCAGCAGCCAGGGCUCACUCUUGGCAGCAGCUGAGGCUUGAGGAAACUGGUGUCCUAAAACACUGAACCCAGUGCCCACUGGAGCUGCCGGCCCCAGGUUUUUCUUCUUUCCUGAGUUCCCCAGUCUUGUGAGAGCAUUUCCCAGUCAGGUAGCCAGGGGAGCAGUGCCACCAUGCGAUUGUACAGUGUGUUGUUUGUCUCAUUAAACAGGCAGGCCCCAGAGACUGCGUUCACGGCACCAUGCAGAUCUCCGUGGUUCACAUAGCUUGCUUUACACUCGUUUUGUCUUGUCAGAAAUAAAAUGUUUGUGCCUUUCCUUGUCAUGAACUCUGUGUUUGUCACUUUGACACAUGGCUGUGUUUCCCACUUUGUGUGAGCAUAAGCACUGUGCAGUUUUACUGUUUUCCAGUUUGUGUGCCAACCAUUCCUAGCAGCCCUCUGAGGUAUCUCAGGUGAGAGCCACAGGGUGGAACCAGAAAGUACCCCAUCUCGAAGUGUGCCUCUGGGACAGCGUUAUUAGCUAGUCCCUGAGGCCCCAGCACAGGAAAUACUGCAGUGUUCCUUCCUGCAGGCCAUGGAGCCCUGACCCAGGCCAGUCCUGGGCAGUGCUUAGGUGGCUGUUAGCAUAUAACAGGUGAAGUAAGGAUUUGGUGAAGAGCGGGGUCCCAGAAACCAGGCUGAGAACAAGCCGGGGUGUCUUCCUGGUGAGUCCUGCUCACGACUGUUCUCAGGAAAACUGAGCCUUCCCUUUGUGUGUAUGUUCCUCACCCACAACCAUUUCACUGUCAAAAAGUUCACAUUUGUGUCUUCUGAAAGUGAAGGAAGCUGGGAGAGUAUGCGCAUCCAUAUGGUCCAUGUGUACCCAUGCACACACAUGGACACAUGCACACACACAUGCACAGGCACGCGCACACAUGCAUAUGCAUAAACACAUGCACACACACAUGCACACAGCCUAUUUCACAUUCUCAGUCUUAGUUUCUGCUUUAUAACCACAUUAUAAAUAAUGAUAAUAAUAAAGUGAAUUAUUCUUAAAGUACUGUAGUGUGUGUGAGGCAGUCUUCAGAGGUGUGAAGUGUAACAUGUAAUCUUACAUAGGUGGACUGUGAAGGUUUUUCUGGUGUUUUGCUCUGCCUGCUUUCAUCCUGUAACCUGGGCUGUAUUAUACAAGAGAACUUGAGCAGUGCAUUUCAAGAGAAUCAGCAGAGACCUUCUGUUGGGCUAAUUGCUGGGUUGGCUGGGACCUGCUCUGAAGGGAUCCCUCAGUUCACUGAGUGGCAAGCCGAGGUCAGUCCUCGCUGUUGAUGGAGCUGGGAGGAGGAGUGACCUAAGGACUCAGGACAGAGCAUGUCACACACAGUUCUGCAGUUCUGUGUGCAGUCACUGUGUUCCUCAAUGAGUCAGCCUGAGGUAGAUUCCCAGGGAAGCCUUUUCCUCACUAUCAAUGUGGGAUGUCACAAGUAAAACUUGUUGUGUUAGUAAUCUAAGGCCAUGUUGUCUUUGUCUUUUAGAGUAAUUCCUGGCUGUGCCUACUACUCCUGCAUACCGUGCUUUUGUGCAUACUGUGCUUAUGUGCAUACUGUGCUUUUGUGCAUACUGUGCUUUUGUGCAUACUGUGCUUUUGUGCAUACUGUGCUUAUGUGCAUACUGUGCUUAUGUGCAUAUUGUGCUUUUUGGGGAGGAGGGCAGGUUCAUGUGCAUCCAGGGUUCUUGCUCUUUCCAGGUCAGGAUGAGAAGAAGGCCUAAGAGAGCAUGAACAGGUGACUGAUGCAGGUACAAUAGGAGUUGUCAACUAUCAGGCACUCUGUCCCAGAAGGAGCUGGGAGCUGCCAGAGAGGAGGCUACUUGUUGGGUAGAUCUUCAGACUCAGCGUGGGUGAAGUCUUCCCCUUACCACUCUUCCUCACGGCUGCCCAACAUCCUGUGUUUAAAGACUUGGCUUCUGCUUCCUGACUCAGUUCCUGGUUGAAUGGGCACCUUCCAGGAGCCUGCUGGGGUAUAGACCAAGGAGCAAAGGAGAGUUCUUAUUUAAGGGCUUUGCUGGGCUCAUCUGUGGGUCCUGGGUCGUCCUCACAUUCUUGCAGGGCUCGCCCAUGCUCAUGAGCACACAUAGCCAUUAGAAUGUGGUCCACCUUUCUGUCCACUCUAGCCUCCCUCUCUUUGGGUUGAUGGAGCGACCUUACCUGGGCUCUGUGCUCUCCUGUGGUGGAGGCCAUUAGCAUUGGGCUGCUGCUUCCCCGGGCAAGACAUUCUCUCUUUUUUUCUAAAGGUCAAAAGCCCCUGGUGAUGGGGGCACUUUAGGUGUGCUUUGGAUGCUGACCUGUUAGGGCUUUAGGAUGUAGGGAUGAUUUUGAUACUACACUUGAUCUUAGCCAAAAGGCCGAGAAGCGAUUGAUUUUGAGACUAGAAGGGCAGACUACACGCAAGCCAGAGCUUUAUGACCGGCCAGUGAUCCUCAGAUCCGUUGGCUGUUUGAAGACCUGUCCCCACUCCCCCUUUAUCAGGUGACUGCCUGGCUCUGUAUCUUACUCGUCAGCCAAUGAAGUAGCAACAGUGCAUUAUUAAUAAUUGCAAUCAAACAGUGCUUAAUAUGCGCCAGACACAGUGCCGGGGGUUUGCAUGCAUGAGCUCCUUCAAUCCAGAAGAAGCUCUGCCUAGGUGGUAUUAUCCCAUCUCACAGAUGGGAAAACUGAAGUUCUGUGCUAGACAUUGAGACCAAAGCGAAGACAACAGACUUGAGGCUUAGGUAGCACUCUGUCUGGUCCGGUUACAGGCUGCAGGCAGCCUCACUUCCGACCAGCUGCUGUGAGGAACGGAUGAGCUAAUGCAUGUAAGCCCUUAGCAAGGUGCCUGGCACCUAGUAAGCACUCAAUAAACGGUAGUUGUUUUCAUUUCAUUCUUUCAACCUGAGCUCAGCGAGGAGUUCAGCCCACAUUAAUGGGCUGCCGGGGAUUCAGCCACCACACUCUCACUGCCUGGACCUAGUUUGGUGUUCCUGUCCCCCCAAGAGAAGCUCUUCAGUGGUCCAAUGGUAAGAGCCCUGGGCAGCAGCUUGGUGUUUCCAUAGCAUUGAGGCCAGCCUGACUGAGGGAUGAUGUGAGGUUGUUUGGCGUUCCUGUUCUUUUCCCUGUGGUGGUGGAGACUGCUCACAGGAGAAAGGCUGUUUGCUCUGACUUGGUGGUGCCUCUACUGGGCAGCCACAGCUUACCUUGCUCUGGGCCCUGCUCUCCCCAGGCAAGUUCUCUACUUCUGUUGUACGUCUCAGGAACCCUCAGUUCCCCCACAAGUGGAUGAUUUUGGAGUAGAGCAGAAUAGAGAAAACAAACCUUAAGCUUCGUGUACCACCCAGAAGCCUAAGAGCCCUGCCUGAGCGCUGACAGCGUAACCACUCCCCCUCUUCCCUCUCUGUCUGGUUUCGUUUGUUGUUUUGAGACAGAGUUUCUUCAUGUGUAGCCCUGGCUGUUCUGGAACUUGCUCUGAAGACCAGGCUGGCCUCAAACUCAGAGAUCUGCCAGCCUCUGCUAUCCAGGUGCUGGGAUUAAAGGUGCCACCACCACCUGGGUUUUCUUUCUUAAAAGGACAGGUUAGAGCAGGCGACCAUUGAGGACAGGUGACGUGAGUGUUUGUUCUAGAUUAGCAACAAAUCACAUAGAUUGGGUUUUUUUUCCCCUACAAGAAGAGAUUUAUUGAGAGGAACACAUAGGUUGUUAAUCAUGAAUGGAGAGAUAUUUAAUUCAGUUUUCUGAAUAGAUACUGGGAAUUGGGGGGGAGUGAGUCUGUCUGUCUGUCUGUCUGUCUGUCUGUGGUCUUCACCUUUAUUGAGUGGCAUUGGCUAACAUGACCCAGGAGAUUCUCACACUCUGUUAGUAGUAAGGGGGAACUUCUGCUCCAGCUGUGGAGUGUCCCGGGUGUUAGUGAGGCCCAUAGGCCUGUUGCUGGGGUUCAGAUAUGGAGCUCCUCUUGUUCUUUUGCACUUGUGUUUGCCAGCCCUGAUCCCUCCUUUGCCGUGCCAUCUGAUGGACAGGCCGUCCUUUUAUCUAGAGGGAAAAGUCUGAUGCCAAUAGAGGUCCUGAGUGCUGCUCUCCCAGGCUCUGGCCAGGCCCAGCUCCAUAGCUCCUGAAUGAAUGUCCGAGUUCCCUGAGUGUCUGAGAAGGCCUAACCACACAGCCACCUGCUCUAAGUUACACUGUUUUUAGGUCUCACCUCAGCCCUUUCUGCUUUCCUUACUAGAAUACCCUUUCCUCAUCCACCAGGUUUGUGUGCUGGUUCAACGGACUUUUCUCAAAGGAACACUGAGGUAGAAAGAGGGUAAGAAUGUUUUUCCAGUGAGUUGAAUGUGCAUACAUGUUUAUGAGAGUCCUCUGUAUGAGCUUUCUUCUCGCUCAUUGGUUUGUCUCAGGCCACACUGGGAGGUGUCUAGGGCUGAACAUAGGGGAGAGAAUGGAGACAAGGGAGCCACUCAGACUCUGGGGGCAGCAACUCUUCAUCUGGCUCGGACUCCUGAGAGCCACAGGAACAGCAACAGGACCCAGAGCAGUAAAAGGGGUUGGGAGUCACACAACUCAAGGUAGACUCAGACCAGUGCAGUGCUCCUGGUGGCCAUAGGGACCAGAAAACACCUUAGGAAAUCUCUCCAUCCUGGGAGUUGUGGAGAGCUCACUGGCCUCUUCUAGAGUCUGUGAACCCAAAUCUCUGCUGACGUUUAAACACUUUCCAAACAGCAGCAGGGAUCACAGUGGCAGACAGGACACACACCCCAGGCUGUUUCUCAGCCUCUUCCAUUGUGUGGAGGGAAUACUUACUUCACUUAAUGCACAGUGCCUGGUGGCUUUCCUGCCCUCAGACCUGGGCAGUGGCACUCAGUCCCUGGCUGUGUGAAAUCCAUGUGGCAGUCCUCUGGUCUCCCCAGACAGGCAUGUGCGUGUGUGUUCUGUCCAGCCCGGGCUUCACCAGUCAGUGUUGCCACCACGUCCGACCUUUCUCUCUGCACUUAGGAUUGGUGUUCACCACACCCGUAGAUUCAACGCAGUAUAAGAAUGUGAUAUAUUGUAUAUUGGAAAGUAUUUACCUUAUUUAUAUACCUGAAUGUUCCUAUUAAACAAAUAAACAUAUACUAAAUUCUAGGCUGUGUGUGGUUUUUGAUGGGAGAAGCCCUUUUAAAAAGUUAUUAUCUUAUGUGUAUGGAUGUUUUACCUGCAUGGAUGUGUGUACCAAAUAUGUGCCUGUUUGCUGGACAAACCAAAAGAGGGCACCAGAUCCGGCUGCAACUGGAAUUACAGGUGGGUGUUGGGAAUUGAACCUGGGUCCCCAGAAGAGCAACCGGUGUUUUUAAUCACUGAGCCAUUCAUCUCUAUUCCUGAGGGGUUAGUUUCUAUGUUUGUUUUUAGGCAGUCUCACUACGUAGCCUGGGCUGGUGUGGGAUGCGUUUUGGGGUCCAGCUGUGGUUCCACAUCCUCUUCCCAGACCCUGCUACACACCAGGCUGGAAGGAUGGAGCAGAGUCUGGCUGGGAGUGAAUGCAGGGGGGUGGUGUUGAGUUGGGGACAAGCAGGUUUAGGAGAAGGCCUUCUCCAAGGAUCUAAGUAUUACAGCUCUUUAGGACUUCUCUGGUGAUCUUCAAUGAAACAGCUGUGUAUCUGCUUGAACUAAGAGAUGCUCUAACCUGGCCGCAGGUGAAAAAUAAUCAGGGUGUUUCGGAAAGUUCCAGUAUCCAGGCAGCUGAGACCAGUUAAAUCAGAAAUGUUAACUUGAACAUCAUCGUCAUUAUUAUUAUUAUUAUUAUUAUUAUUA
ensembl:lncRNA